rnacentral:rRNA from 1 species
GACGAACGCUGGCGGCGUGCUUAACACAUGCAAGUCGAACGAAGUGGCGAACGGGUGAGUAACGCGUAAUCAACCUGCCCUUCAGAGGGGGACAACAGUUGGAAACGACUGCUAAUACCGCAUACUGAAGGAGGGGAUUGCGUCUGAUUAGCUAGUUGGAGGGGUAACGGCCCCCCAAGGCGAUGAUCAGUAGCCGGCCUGAGAGGGUGAACGGCCACAAGGGGACUGAGACACGGCCCUUACUCCUACGGGAGGCAGCAGUGGGGAAUAUUGGACAAUGGCCGAGAGUCUGAUCCAGCAAUUCUGUGUGCACGAUGAAGUUUUUCGGAAUGUAAAGUGCUUUCAGUUGGGAAGCGGUACCAACAGAAGAAGUGACGGCUAAAUACGUGCCAGCAGCCGCGGUAAUAC